GAGGCGGAUCUGGCUUACUUGGUGCCCUAGGCGAGAUCCGAUGUGGCGCCCCCCUUAAUAUCAACAACAACAACAUGAGAAACGGAUCAAUAUUUAAGUCCUUUUUUUACUCUAAAUCUACACUUUCACAUCUGAAAGUCACAUCUGAUGCCUGUUUAGUUUCACUUUCACAUCUGAAAGUGUAAGUGGAGAUUUAGAGUAAAAAUAUUGAUUUAAAUAUUGAUCUGUUUCUCACCCACACCUAUCAAGUCGCUUAUGAAGACAUAGAUUUAACCACUGGAGUCUAAUGGAUUACUUUUCUGCUGCCUUUAUGUGCUUUUUGGAGCUUCAGAGUUCUGGCCAACAUUCACUUGCAUUUUAUGGACCGGCAUGAGGGUCGUGUGGAACCUGAAACAGCUACUUCUACAACAAUAUAAACUACAAAAAGAAGUAUGACACAUUGAAAUAAGAGCCCAUUACAAGCGGUAAAUUUUAUUAUGGGAUAACAGCACAUAAAUCACAUCUAAAAUCGAUGUGUCCAAUGCACUUUUAAUAAAGGUAAUAUUAAAGGUACAGUUUCUAAGUACAAUAUAACAACAUUCAUAUUAGAAUGAAAAGUAUUUAAAAGACAACAUUAAAUUUCUUAUUUUUCUUUACAGCAGUAUUUACAAAAUGAAUCAAAAUACUUAUUUUCAUAUUUAAGAAUCAGAUGAACAUAAGGAGCAAAACCACUAUUGAGAAGAGACUAUCUCCUAAAGAGAGUUCUGAAGAGCUGAAUAAAAAGGUACAUGAUCAACUGUCCCCAUUAUAAGAUCAGUAGCAAACAUGUGACAGAAAAAUCCACAAACUGUUCUCUGCUCCCCCCACAGUUGAUGCUGCCCAUGUGAGGAGCACAAUCCAACCCGUCCAGCCCCAGCCCUCCCAUUCAGCUCAUAUUAAACAGACAACAGUAAAUAGAUCCAGAUGUGUAGUAUGCAUAAUUUUACAUACACAAAUGAACACUUCAGUUACAAUGCAUUAGUCAUUUUUUUGUGUUGUAAUUAUCAACUUUAACCUAAAUGGCAGGAAAGAAUAGGAGAACACAGAGUGGAUUGCCUAUUGUCCGUCAUUUUGUCUUGGCAAAUAUCCAAAAAGGGUCCUGCCAUUCACCAAGAAAUCCAACCAGAGUGCAAUUGACUGGAUGCAACAAUGCAUGUCCCAUAACCACGUUUCAAUUGUGUUGUUCGGAGGAGAAGCAAAAACGAACAUCUUGAGACCGAGAACUUCGACUGAUCUCUGUCGGUAAGAAAUACAGGACGCCACAUGAGACAAUAAAAUGCUGUUUCCAUGGCUAUAAACAAACAUGAAAAACCUCAUUUACAUAAAAAGACAGCCAAUGAAAAGAAAAGUUGGUAACACAAGACAGAAGUCACCUACAUGUGCAAACACAGUCAUUUGAGUACGUCGAGAACAGUGAAAACAACGACGGACGAAUAUAGUUUCUGCAUCCUGUAGCACUGAGAGGCACUCAGCGUAGUUUUCCAUGUAUUUAUUGCAAGUUUAAUCUGCCUUGCUACAAAGAGAAACAGGAAGUUUCGCACAAAACCUCACACAACUGCCUUUGUCCUGUACAAUUUUGUUAUAACGCUUAACCAUUGUGUGUGUAUAAUGAGACCUUAUGAGUGAGUAGAAUUCAAUAGGAAACAAACAAAAGCUUAAGAGUCUUAAGGAACUGCUGGGUACAAGAAACAAAAAAGAAAUUGAGGGUGCCAAAAAAAAAAAAAAAAGGCUAAACUUCAAGACAA